UAUCAGGAGAUCUUCAGGGCAGCCUUUGACCUUGGCAACCAGACAACGGCAAAUGCUGAAAUGACCGAGCCUGUAGUAGGCUUGUGGCAAAACACGAAAUAAGAUCUACCAACCUCCAACCCUCUCCCACCUUCCCAGACAUAAUCAGUGGCACCAAGAAGAGGGACGAAAAUCUUUGAAACCAGGAGCCACGAUAAAAUUUGAUUCAGCAAGAAAAACAACGCAUGUUCCCAGAAAUGUAGCAUAUGCUGAGUUUUUUUUAUAAUGCCAACGUGUGAUUGCUACAGGUUUCCACAGAACACUGGGGAAGUCAACCAAGGCAAAGGUAAAAGUAGGAGCGCUCAGGUGUUUCCUCACCAGCCGGGGAUGAUUUGGAGCUUGGAGAGAGUCUGCCUCAGCCUCGGGAAUGCUGAGAUUAUUAACACGUGCCAUAUGCCCAGCCAAGACCUAUUUCUCAGGACUACUGUAGGAAUUGAUUCUAAACAGCAAGGAAAGAGGAAGAUGGUUGGCCUUGAAAAGGAGACCCUUGGAACUGUGUUUCGAUACUCUUAAGAGUGUGUGUUCGUGAGAUGCAAGAAUUCACGCAAAGCAGCCUCCAAACACUGACUGGAUCUCACUAAAAAAAUAAAAUUUCUGCAUCCUCUUUUCUC
rnacentral:sRNA from 1 species